GUGUGUGUGUGUGUGUGUGUUCAGCAUUUGCGCAGCUGGCUGGCAUGGAAGGUAGACACUGUUACAAAUUCUUUACCACAAAAGAGGAACGCUGCACAGAGGUGGUCAAGAACCCAGAUACAGGAAAGCACCCAGCACAUGUACAACCCCAUCGUCCCCAAAGCUGCCUUGGCUAUAGGACUUCUUUGGCUGGUGGGAAGUUGCUGAGGGAACGGGGGAACGGGCUACUUCCAUACAGAGUUGUAACAGCCUGUCUGUGAUCUGCUGUCCCCCCUUACCUGCCUCAGUGAUGGUGGGAGUGUGUGUCUCGAUCCUGUGGGCGGGUGCCUGAGCGACUAUGAGAAGCAGAGCCCUCUGCUGACCUGAACUAGAGAUGCACAGAAGGAACGGUGGCUAAAGGAUAAACAGCGUGACAUCAAUCUCAGCUCAAACGUGUGCUCUGCGGAGGGGACCCUGGACGAUCAAGGUGUCAACAGCGCUCUCGGCCUGGGCCCCCAGGAGGGAAGCUACACAUACAAUGUGGCACGCAUACCUGAUAGGUAAACACUAUUCGUCGAUCGCAUUUUGCCUGAUCCCUCCACACUGAGACAAGCACUUGGUUGCCCCAGAGCCUACGGCCUGUCCUCUAUUAUUUCACCCGAUCUCUGACACGAUCUGUUUCUGUCUGAGUCUGCCUGCUGCGGCGUGUAGCCCGGGAUCUACUCACCACAACCUGGAACCUGACCCGGCAUCUAGUAGAAAUUCAAGCACGCUUGCAGAACUGGACUGGAUUGGGGUGGGGUUGGCUCAGUUUAUAAACAGACAUGUGUCAAGAAUUCAUCUUUCCUUUCUGUGGUGCACUGACUUAGGAGCAUCUUAUUAUUAAUUAUCUCCUACAGGCAAUGGAAGAAAGGACAUUUGGCCCGGAACCCCAGUUUGGGUGCCCGACAAUAGGAAAUUGGAAAUACUGUCCUGCUGAUGACAACAGCCUAAACCUUGAAAAUGCACUUUUAAUAAAGGGUGGCUAGAAUGCCAAUUUAGCACAUAACUGGUGCGUUCAGACAGAACCUAGUAAGAGGAAAGGAAAUUUACUUUCUAAGGAUUAAGUCUCCUACCCUGCUGUAAUUUAGGCUUUAAGGCUCCUCACAUGGUAUAAACAUCCCUCUAUUAAUUGGAAACAUUGCUGGUUAACAUAGACAUCUCAAUUUCAAAGUGUUUUAUAUUCUGUACUACACUUGGAAAAUAUUUUCCAAUGGGCAUGUGGCGAACCUCUCAUAUGACUUCAGGAUCAGUGCUGGGUAGAAUUUAUUAAAAGAUAAAUGCAAGUGAACUUCUGUCUUUUCAAAGGGAACAGGAAGGUCACUGCUGGAAAAAGACCAAGCUCCCUCUUUUAUGGAGGAGAAAACCAAGGCCCAGAAGGUUAGGUGACUUCCCGAAAUCACACAGCCUUCAGGUGGAGGCAGCAUCAUGUGGGAAGGUCCCGAGUCAGAGAAACUGGAGUGGGUGUGGGGUGAGGCAGAAUGGAUGGCCAGGGACUGGGGGGCCAUCUGAAGGGGUUUGGAUUGCAUUUCACACUCAAUGGGCAGCAGUUGAAGGGUUUCAUGCAGGGAAAUGCUGGCAUCUGACCCGUGUUUUCUAAUAUAAAGACCAAACUUCUGCUGGAAGGAUAAAGACCAGCUGGAGGCUUUUACUGUGAUGCAGCUGUGAGAUGAUAGGGACCCAGGUGAAGGUAUGACAGUGGACUUGGAAAGAAGAGAAUGAGGAUGAAAUAUAUUUUAGAAUCGGGGAUGAAAUAUACUUUGGAAUCAGAAUCAAGAGGACUUGUGGGCGGUAAGGAAGGAGGGAUCAAGGGUGACUGUUAUGUUUGUGGCUUGGGUGGAGGGGGUUCUCUAUAUGAGAUGGGCAGGUAUACGAACAGGGAACCAAGAAUUCAGUUUUGAACAUGUAGUAAAGUCAGGCUUGAAAUGGAAACAGUGUAAUAGAUGUGAAAUGCACAGUGUUGGCACAGAGUAAGCGUGGUGGCCUUGAUAGUGUUGUUUUUAUCACUGGCAUUUUCAGUACCACGCCAAUGGGGUUACUAAGGCCGAGGAGAAAAGAGAUUUAUAUUGUAAACUCUGGUGUAGUUCGUACACAGGCUAGUUGACUGUGUAGUGAGUGACACACACACUUAUUGGUAAAUCGAUGUGAGUGUCGUGAAUGUUCGGUAUAAAUUGGCACUCGUAGAAACGACAUUGAUUUUGGUGACUCUCCUAUAGGACAAGUCUGAGACCCGCUUUGGGUUAGAGCUGUUAAUGGUGAUCUGAAGCUUGUACAGAAUUUGUUGCUGAGUUUUUCCACUCCUCCAAAGUAAAGAGCUUCAACUUAAAAUAAACAUCAGUACAACUACUGGUAUUCACGUUU